rnacentral:rRNA from 1 species
UGAGGAAUAUUGGACAAUGGAGGCAACUCUGAUCCAGCCAUGCCGCGUGCAGGAAGACGGCCCUAUGGGUUGUAAACUGCUUUUAUACAGGAAGAAACGUUAGUACGUGUACUAGCCUGACGGUACUGUAAGAAUAAGGAUCGGCUAACUCCGUGCCAGCAGCCGCGGUAAUACGGAGGAUCCAAGCGUUAUCCGGAAUCAUUGGGUUUAAAGGGUCCGCAGGCGGUCUGAUAAGUCAGAGGUGAAAUCCUAUCGCUCAACGAUAGAACUGCCUUUGAUACUGUUAGACUUGAGUUAUUGUGAAGUAGUUAGAAUGUGUAGUGUAGCGGUGAAAUGCAUAGAUAUUACACAGAAUACCGAUUGCGAAGGCAGAUUACUAACAAUAUACUGACGCUCAUGGACGAAAGCGUGGGUAGCGAACAGG